GAUGAACGCUGGCGGCGUGCCUAAUACAUGCAAGUCGAGCGAACAGACGAGGAACUUGCUCCUCUGACGUUAGCGGCGAACGGGUGAGUAACACGUGCAUAACCUACCUAUAAGACUGGGAUAACUUCGGGAAACCUGAGCUAAUACCGCAUAAUAUAUUGAACCGCAUUGUUCAAUAGUUAAAGACGUUUUUGCUUUCACUUAUAGAUGGAUCCGCUCCGCUUUGGCUAGUGGGUAAGGUAACGGCUUACCAAGGCAACGAUGCGUAGCCAACCUGAGGGGGUGACAGGCCAAACUGGACGUGAGACACGGUACAGACUCCUACGGGAGGCAGCGGUAGGGAAUCUUCCGCAAUGGGAGAAAGCCUAACGGAGCACCGCCGCGUGAGUGAUGAAGGUAUGCGGCUCGUAAAACUAUGUUAUUAGGGAAGAACAAAUGUGUAAGUAACUAUGCACGUCUUGACGGUACCAAAUCAGAAAGCCACGGCUAACUCCGUG
rnacentral:rRNA from 1 species